rnacentral:tRNA from 1 species
GCCUGGGUGGCACAGGGGUUAAGCGUCUGCCUUCGGCUCAGGGCGUGAUCCCGGUGUUGUGGGAUCGAGCCCCACCUCAGGCU